AGCAAAGAAGUAAUUAUUACUUUUAGUUUCGACCUAAAAAUAAAGGAAAUUCCUUCAUGUUUU
rnacentral:tRNA from 1 species